rnacentral:ncRNA from 2 species
UACGAAGGUCCCAAGCGUUGUUCGGAAUCACUGGGCGUAAAGGGAGCGUAGGCGGCGCGGUAAGUCAGAUGUGAAAUCCCGGGGCUCAACCCCGGAACUGCAUCCGAUACUGCCGUGCUUGAGCAAUGGAGAGGUAGCUGGAAUUAUCGGUGUAGCAGUGAAAUGCGUAGAUAUCGAUAGGAACACUCGUGGCGAAAGCGAGCUACUGGACAUUUGCUGACGCUGAGGCUCGAAGGCUAGGGGAGCGAAAGGG